UGGGGAAUUUUGGACAAUGGGCGAAAGCCUGAUCCAGCAAUGCCGCGUGUGUGAAGAAGGCCUUCGGGUUGUAAAGCACUUUUGUCCGGAAAGAAAUCCUUGGCUCUAAUACAGUCGGGGGAUGACGGUACCGGAAGAAUAAGCACCGGCUAACUACGUGCCAGCAGCCGCGGUAAUACGUAGGGUGCAAGCGUUAAUCGGAAUUACUGGGCGUAAAGCGUGCGCAGGCGGUUUGCUAAGACCGAUGUGAAAUCCCCGGGCUCAACCUGGGAACUGCAUUGGUGACUGGCAGGCUAGAGUAUGGCAGAGGGGGGUAGAAUUCCACGUGUAGCAGUGAAAUGCGUAGAGAUGUGGAGGAAUACCGAUGGCGAGGCAGCCCCCUGGGCCAAUACUGACGCUCAUGCACGAAAGCGUGGAGAGCAAACAGGAUUAGAUACCCUGGUAGUCCACGCCCUAAACGAUGUCAACUAGUUGUUGGGGCAUUCAUUUUCCUUAGUAACGUAGCUAACGCGUGAAGUUGACCGCCUGGGGAGUACGGUCGCAAGAUUAAAACUCAAAUGAAUUGACGGGGUCAUAGCUGUUUCCU
rnacentral:rRNA from 1 species